rnacentral:lncRNA from 1 species
GAGCAACUGCUGCAGUUACUGAUCAUAUCUGUUGAGUGCUGACAAGGGGAAGAUACCAGGUUCCCCACUCUCUUCUGAAUAAUGAAAAUAAGUAGAGAGACGACACUCUUUGGCAGUCACUUUCCUUUGGGGAGGGGAAGGGAAGGUAGGAAAAGUGACCUGUUUCUUCUCCUCCCGGGUGUAUUUGUGGGUUGUAUCUUCAAAGAUGGCUUAGAGUCAGUUCUGCUAAAUUUCCUCUGAAAUGCUUGGCAAAUGGGUAUCAGCCAC